CUAAUGACACCAGCAUCUGCCAACAGUUCAAAUAUUCGUACAAGUUGAACACGUAAAAUAUCUCGACGCCUGCGUCGUUUCAUAUUCUAUUGGAGAACAGAGAGCAGUACAGUGAAACUACAUCCAUACCUGCCAGUAAAUGUGCAGAAUAUAAUGAUUACCUAAAAGCACCUGGACUGGUCCUGCCAAGGCCCAGCACAAGGGAUUCUGUGAUUUCCAUGCUCUCAGAGCGCAUCAUUGGAACAAUGUGCUUAAACAAGGACGAAGGGGACGGAACACCAAUUAUCUGAGAACAGAAAAACAGCAUCAAUACUCACAAUUAAAUGUGAUCUCUGGAUUUCUAUAUCAUAUUAUGAAGGAAAACAAAUGGUCAAGAAAAGGGAGUCAAGGAUGCAAAAAAAGAGACCAAAAGCUCUUCAAUUUUCAUUUAAAUGGAAUUGUGGAAAUUACACUCGCUCUUUCCCUCAA